rnacentral:rRNA from 1 species
UCGCGGAUCAGCAUGCCGCGGUGAAUACGUUCCCGGGCCUUGUACACACCGCCCGUCACACCAUGAGAGUCGGGAACACCCGAAGUCCGUAGCCUAACCGCAAGGGGGGCGCUGCCGAAGGUAGGAUUGGCGACUGGGGUGAAGUCGUAACAAGGUAGC